rnacentral:lncRNA from 1 species
UGAAAUCGGCAGACGAUAAUCUGGUUCUCGAGCACUUUGGUUGUGGAGGUCUUUCUUCCAAGCUGCGUAAAGGCAGAGGGCGAUCCCAGCAGUCACCAAGAAGAAGACCAGCCAAACGUACCCGAAAGAGGCAACGGGAAGGAGGAGAGCAAUCCGAAGCACAAAGGCGAUCAAGAAGAAGAUGAUGGCGAUGGUCACCACCCUCUUUUGGACCCAGGCGACCUCGGCUCCUUCGGGCCUCUCGAGGGAGUACAUGAAGAGGCCCAGGCUCGU